rnacentral:rRNA from 1 species
UUUAAUUGAAGAGUUUGAUCAUGGCUCAGAUUGAACGCUGGCGGCAGGCCUAACACAUGCAAGUCGAGCGGUAACAGGAGAAGCUUGCUUCUCGCUGACGAGCGGCGGACGGGUGAGUAAUGUAUGGGGAUCUGCCCGAUAGAGGGGGAUAACUACUGGAAACGGUGGCUAAUACCGCAUAAUCUCUAAGGAGCAAAGCAGGGGAACUUCGGUCCUUGC